rnacentral:rRNA from 1 species
AGCGAACGCUGGCGGUAGGCCUAACACAUGCAAGUCGAACGGCAGCACAGUAAUAGCUGGCUGUUACGGGGGGCGAGGGGCGGAUGAGACAGGAGUAAACCGGAAUCUACUUUUGCGUGGGGGAUAACGUAGGGUAACUUACGCUAAUACCCCAUACGACCUACGGGGGAAAGCAUGGGAUCGUCGGACCUGGCGGGAGUGAAUGAGCCGAUGUCGGAGUCGCUAGUUGGCGGGGUAAAGGCCCACCAAGUCGACGAUCCGUAGCUGGUCUGGGAGGAUGAUAGGCCGCACUGGAACUUAGGCACGGUCCAGCCUCCUACGGGAGGACGCAGUGGGGAAUAUUGGACAAUGGGCGAAUGCCUGAUCCAGCCAUACCGCGUGGGUGCAGAAGGCCUUCGGGUUGUAAAGCCCUUUUGUUCGGACAGAAAAGCAGCAGCUUAAUCCCCCGCUGUUCUGACGGUACCCAAAGAAUAAGCCCCGGCUAACUUCGUG